GGCAGGCCUAACACAUGCAAGUCGGGCGGUAACAGGGAGUGCUUGCACUUCGCUGACGAGCGGCGGACGGGUGAGUAAUGCAUAGGAAUCUGCCUGGUAGUGGGGGAUAGCCCAGAGAAAUUUGGAUUAAUACCGCAUACGCCCUACGGGGGAAAGCAGGGACUCUUCGGAGCCUUGCGCUAUCAGAUGAGCCUAUGUCGGAUUAGCUUGUUGGUGAGGUAACGGCUCACCAAGGCGACGAUCCGUAGCUGGUCUGAGAGGAUGAUCAGCCACACUGGGACUGAGACACGGCCCAGACUCCUACGGGAGGCAGCAGUGGGGAAUAUUGGACAAUGGGCGCAAGCCUGAUCCAGCCAUGCCGCGUGUGUGAAGAAGGCCUUCGGGUUGUAAAGCACUUUCAGCGGGGAGGAAAGGAUGGUUGCUAAUAUCAGCCGUCUGUGACGUUACUCGCAGAAGAAGCACCGGCUAACUCCGUG
rnacentral:rRNA from 1 species